GCUUAGGCACAUUAGAGCGUUUGGACCUUAGCCACAAUAGCUUGAGCGGUGUGCUAUUGAAAGAACAUUUUGCUGGUUUAGGCAACUUAAAGGUUUUGUUUCUUAGCUACAAUAACUUCAACAGUGUGAAAGAACAAUUUGCAAGCUUAGGCAAAUUAGAGCAUUUGGACCUUAGCCACAAUAACUUGAGCAGUGUGCUAUGAUACGUCUCCAACGUAUCUAUAAUUUUUGAUUGCUCCAUGCUACUUUAUCUACUGUUUUAGGCAAUAUUGGGAUUUAUUAUCCACUUUUAUAUUAGUUUUGGGACUAACCUAUUAACCGGAGGCCCAGCCCAGAUUUGCUGUUUUAUGCCUAUUUCAGUGUUUCGAGGAAAAGGAAUAUCAGACGGAGUCAAACGGAACGAAAUCAACUGGAGAAGUUAUUUUUGGAAGGAAAGCAACCCAGGGAACUUGGAGUGCACGUCAGGGGAGAGAUGGGCUGCCCACGAGGGUGGGAGGCGCGCCCCCUGCCUCGUGGGACCCCCGUAGUUCCACCGAGGUACCCCCUGCACCCAUAUAUACCUACGUACCCAAAAACUUCCAGAAUAGAACCUAGAUCGGGAGUUACGCCGCCGCAAGCCUCCAGAACCACGAAAAACCAAUCGGGACCCUGUUCCGGCACCCUGCCGGAGGGGAGAUCCUUCACUGGUGGCCAUCUUCAUCAUCCCGGCGUUAUCCAUGACGAGGAGGGAGUAGUUCACCCUCGGGGCUGAGGGUAUGUACUAGUAGCUAUGUGUUUGAUCUCUCUCUCUCUCUCUCGUGUUCUCUCUCGUGUUCCUCUAUGGCACGAUCUUGAUGUAUCCCGAGCUUUGCUAUUGUAGUUGGAUUUUAUGAUGUUUCUCCCUCUCUACUCUCUUGUGAUGAAUUGAGUUUCCCCUUUGAAGUUAUCUUAUCGGAUUGAGUCUUUUAUGAGAACACUUGAUGUAUGUCUUGGUGAUCAACUUGCGGGUUUCGUGACAUUGGGAACCUAUACAUAGGGGUUGGCACACGUUCUUGACUUUCCGGUAGUAGCUUUGAGGCACUCUUUCAAGUACUUUUAUGUUGGUUGGAUGAAUCUGAGAUUGUGUGAUGCAUAUCAUAUAAUCAUGCCCACGGAUACUUGAGGUGACAAUGGAGUAUCUAGGUGACAUUAGGGGUUUGGUUGAUUUGUGUCUUAAGGUGUUAUUCUAGUACGAACUCUUUUAUAGAUCGAUCAGAAAGGAUAACUUUGAGGUGGUUUCGCACCCUACCAUAAUCUCUAUGUUUGUUCUCCGCUAUUAGUGGAUUUGGAGUGACUCUUUGUUGCAUGUUAAGGGCUUGUUAUAUGAUCUAUCUAUGUUAUUAUUGUUGAGAGAACUUGCACUAGUGAAAGUAUGAACCCUAGACCUUGUUUCCUAACAUUGCAAUACCAUUUACGCUCACUUUUACCGCUCGCUACCUUGCUGUUUUUAUUAUUUCAGAUUACAAAAACCUAUAUCUAGUAUCUAUUUUGCACUUGUAUCACCAUCUCUUCGCCGAACUAGUGCACCUAUACAAUUUACCAUUGUAUAGGGUGUGUUGGGGACACAAGGGACUCUUUGUUAUUUGGUUGCAGGGUUGUUUGAGAGAGACCCUCUUCAUCCUACGCCUCCUACGGAUUGAUAAACCUUAGGUCAUCCACUUGAGAGAAAUUUGCUACUGUCCUACAAACAUGUGCACUUACAGGCCCAACAACGUCUACAAGAAGAAGGUUGUGUAGUAGACAUCAAGCUCUUUUCUGGCGCCGUUGCCGGGGAGGUUAGCGCUUGAAGGUAUAUCUUUAGAUCUUUCAACCGAAUCUUUUUGUUUCUUGUUUUAGCACUAGUUUAGUUUAUAAAAGAAAACUACAAAAAAAUGGAGUUAAGUUUGUCUCAUACGCUUCGUCUUUUUAAUAUCUUUCCUGAGUAUGAUGGAAAGGAAAAUUGUGCUCAAGUGCUAGAAGAAGAAUUACAUAGAAUGCUUGGCAUAAAAUAUGUGAAUGAUGAGCAUGAUUGCAAUGUUGUUAGUAUGAAUUCCUUGAAUAUCCAUGAUGCUAAUGAUAUGCAAAGCCACAAGCUUGGGGAAGCUAUGUUUGAUGAAUAUGAUAUUUUUAGCCCCCAAAGUUUUGAUGAGAAAAUUUACUAUGAUGAAAGCAUGCCUCCUAUCUAUGAUGAUUAUUGUGAUGACGCGUAUGCUUUAAAGAAUAAUUAUAACCAUGAAACUUGUCAUCUUGAUCUUAAUUUUCAAUCACAUGAUAGUUAUUUUGUUGAGUUUGCUCCCACUACUAUUCAUGAGAAGAAAUUUGCUUAUGUGGAGAGUAGUAAAUUUUCUAUACUUGUAGAUCAUGAAAAGAAUGCUUUAGGUGCUGGUUAUAUUGUUGAAUUAAUUCAUGAUGCUACUGAAAAUUAUUAUGAGAGAGGAACAUAUACUUGUAGGAAUUGCAAUAAUGUCAAGUUUCCUCUCUAUGUGCUUAAAUUCUUGAAGCUAUGCUUGUUGUGCCAUCCUAUGCUAGUUGAUUAUUGUUCCCAUAAGUUGUUUGCUCACAAAAUCCCUAUGCAUAUGAAGUGGGUUAGACUUAAAUAUGCUAGUCAUAUGCUUCAUGAUGCUCCCGUUAUGUUUCAAUUCUUAUCUUUUUUUGUGAGCAUCAUUGUCAUCAUCAUGCCUAGCUAAAAGGCAUUAAAAAAAGCGCUUGUUGGGAGACAACGCAAUAUUUAUCCUUACUGUUUUUGUGUGUCCACAUGAUUAUGCUACUGUAUUAAUCAUGUUCUAUAGCUUUUGUUUCAAUAAAGUGCCAAGUAGAACCUUUGGGAAGACUUGGGUGAAGUUUAUAUGAUCUUGCUGUGAAAAACAGAAACUUUAGCGCUCACGAGCUUAGCUGCCAUUUUUUUACUGGGAGUGCUUUUAGGUUGAUUCUUUUUGAAGAUGAUUAAUAGACAAAUUUCUCAGGUCCAGCAAUUUAUUUCAUAAUUUUUGGGGUUCCAGAAGUAUACGUUUGAUAUAGAUUACUACAGGCUGUUCUGUUUUUGACAGAUUCUGUUUUCUAUAUGUUGUUUGCUUAUUUUGAUGCAUCUAUGGCUAGUAUUAAGUGGUAUGAACCAUAGAGAUGUUAGAAUACAGUAGAUAUAACACCAAUAUGAAUUUAGAAUGAGUUCAUUACAGUAUCUAAGUGGUGGUUUUAUUUUCUUAUACUAACGGAGCUUGCGAGUUCUGUUUUGAGUUUUGUGUGGUUGAAGUUUUCAAGUUUUGGGUAAAUAUUCGAUGGAUUAUGGAAUAAGGAGUGGAAAGAGCCUAAGCUUGGGGAUGCCCAAGGCACCCCAAGGUAAUAUUUAAGGACAACCAAGAAACUAAGCUUGGGCAUGCCCCGGAAGGCAUCCCCUCUUUCGUCUUCGUUCAUCGGUAACUUUACUUGGAGCUAUAUUUUAUUCGCCACAUGAUAUGUGUUUUACUUGGAGCGUCAUUUUAUUUUGCUAGUUUUUGCUUUCUGUUAGUUAGAAUAAUGUUUUGCAUCUUUAGUUUCAAUAAAAAAACUCAAGGAUAGCCUUUGCCAUGCUUAUUUUGCUAGUUUGCAUGUUGCUGUUUGAAAACAGAAAGUUUACCUCUGUUGCAAAAAUUCCCUAGAAAAGUCAGAGAAAGGUAUAACGUUGAAUAUUUUUGUAUAUUAAGCUCUGAUAAAUUUAUUACAGUUGGAAUUUUAGUUCAUAAUUUUUGGAGUUAGGGAAGUAUGAUUACUCUUGCAUUCUUUACAGACUGUACUGUUUUGGCAGAUUGCUGUUAUGGUUGCAUUGUUUGCAUAUGUUUGCUUGUUUAAUGAUUCUAUUUGAGGAUAGGAGUAUUAAAUAUGCAGAGGAAUUUAGUAUGCAAUGUUGAAUAAUAAUUUAAGUGAUUUGUUAUAGUAGAAGAUGAUAAGGUUUUGCAUUGGUUUAUACUAACCUAUCUCACGAGUUCUUGUUGAGUUUGUUGUGAAUGAAGCUUUUGAUAAAAAGAAGAGAAACCAUGAUAUGAGAGGAAUUAAGGAGAUAAAAGCUUAAGAUUGGGGAUGCCCAAGGCACCCCAAGAUAAUAUUUCAAGAAGUCUCAAGCAUCUAAUCUUGGGGAUGCCCCGGUAGGCAUCCCACCUUUAUUCUUCAACAAUCAUCGGUUAGUAUCGGUUGAGCCUAAGUUUUUGCUUCUUCACAUGAGUUGUGCUAUCCUUGCAUUGUCAUUUAUUUUGUUUUGCUUGCUGUUUGAAUAAGAUACCAAGAUCUGAAAUUCUUUAAUGAGAGAUAGCCAUACACAAAUUGGAAUUUGCUAGAAUACUCUAUGUGCUUCACUUAUAUCUUUUGAGCUUGAUAGUUUUGCUCAUAGUGCUUCACUUAUAUCUUUUGAGCGUGAUAAUUUUUGCUCUAGUGCUUCACUCAUAUCUUUUAAAGCACGGUGGUGGAUUUGUUUUAAAGAAACUAUUGAUCUCUCAUGCUUCACUUAGAUUAUUUUGAGAGUUGUUAAUAGCAUGGUAAUUUGCUUAAUGUUAAUAUACUUGGUAUUCAAGAUAUGUGAAACUUUCUUUUGAGUGCGUUGAAUACUAAGAUAAGUUUGAUGCUUGAUAAUUGUUUUGAGAUAUGGAGGUGAUAAUAUCAAACCAAUGCUAGUUGGGGUGACCAUGAAUUUAAAGAAUGCUUGUGUUGAAGUUUGUGAUUCCCGUAGCAUGCACGUAUGGUGAACCGCUUUGUGAUGAAGUCGGAGCACAAUUUUAUUUAUUGAUUGUCUUCCUUAUGAGUGGCAGUCGGGGACGAGCGAUGGUCUUUUCCUACCAAUCUAUCCCCCUAGGAGCAUGCGCGUAGUACUUGAAUUUUUGAUGACUUCUAAAUUUUUGCAAUAAGUAUAUGAGUUCUUUUGAUUAAUGUUGAGUCCAUGGAUUAUACGCACUCUCACCCUUCCACUUUUGCUAGCCUCUCUAAUACUGCGCACUUUUCGCCGGUAUCAUACACCCACCAUAUACCUUCCUCAAAACAGCCACCAUACCUACCUAUCAUGGCAUUUUCGUAGCCAUUCCGAGAUAUAUUGCCAUGCAACUUUCCACCGUUCCAUUCAUAUGACACACAUUACUUUUGUCAUAUUGCUUUUUGCAUGAACAUGUAGUUGACAUAGUAUUUGUGGCAAGGCCACCUUCAUAAUUUUCAUACAUGUUACUCUUGAUUCAUUGCAUAUCCCGGUCUACUGCCGGAGGCAUUCAUAUAGAGUCAUAUCUUGUUCUAAGUAUCGAGUUGUAAUUGUUGAGUUGUAAGAAAAAUAAAAGUGUGAUGAUCAUCAUUAUUGGAGCAUUGUCCCAGUGAGGAAAGGAUGAUGGAGACUAUGAUUCCCCCAUAAGUCGGGAUGAGACUCCGGACUUUAUGAAAAAUAAAAGAGGCCAAAGAAGACCAAAUAAAAAAAAGAGUGGCCAUAAAAAAAAGAGAAAGACCAAAUAAAAAAAUAAAAAAAUGAGAGAAAAAGAGAGAAGGGACAAUGCUACUAUCCUUUUUCCACACUUGUGCUUCAAAGUAGCACCAUGAUCUUCAUGAUAGAGAGUCUCAUAUGUUGUCACUUCCAUAUACUAGUGGGAAUUUUUCAUUAUAGAACUUGGCUUGUAUAUUCCAAUGAUGGGCUUCCUCAAAAGUGCCCUAGGUCUUCGUGAGCAAGCAAGUUGGAUGCACACCCACUUAGUUUCUUUUUGUUGAGCUUUCAUAUACUUAUAGCUCUAGUGCAUCCGUUGCAUGGCAAUCCCUACUCACUCACAUUGAUAUCUAUUAAUGGGCAUCUCCAUAGCCCAUUGAUACGCCUAGUUGAUGUGAGACUAUCUUCUCCUUUUUGUCUUCUCCACAACCACCAUUCUAUUCCAUCUAUAGUGCUAUGUCCAUGGCUCAUGCUCAUGUAUUGCGUGAAAGUUUAAAAAGUUUGAGAUUACUAAAGUAUGAAACAAUUGCUUGGCUCAUCAUCGGGGUUGUGCAUGAUUAAAUACUUUGUGUGAUGAAGAUAGAGCAUAGCCAGACUAUAUGAUUUUGUAGGGAUAACUUUCUUUAACCAUGCUAUUUUGAGAAGACAUGAUUGCUUUAAUUUGUAUGCUUGAAGUAUUAUUACUUUUAUGUCAAUAUGAACUUUUGUCUUGAAUCUUUCGGAUCUGAAUAUUCAUAUCACAAUUAAGAAGAUUUGCAUUGAAAUUAUGCCAAAGUAUCACUCCGCAUCAAAAAUUCUUUUUUAUCAUUUACCUACUCGAGGACGAGCAAGAAUUAAGCUUGGGGAUGCUUGAUACGUCUCCAACGUAUCUAUAAUUUUUGAUUGCUCCAUGCUACUUUAUCUACUGUUUUAGGCAAUAUUGGGCUUUAUUAUCCACUUUUAUAUUAUUUUUGGGACUAACCUAUUAACCGGAGGCCUAGCCCAGAUUUGCUGUUUUAUGCCUAUUUCAGUGUUUCGAGCAAAAGGAAUAUCAGACGGAGUCAAAACGGAACAAAAUCAACUGGAGAAGUUAUUUUUGGAAGGAAAGCAACCCAGGGAACUUGGAGUGCACGUCAGGGGAGAGACGGGCUGUCCACGAGGGUGGGGGACGCGCCCUCCUGGGCGCGCCCCCCUGCCUCGUGGGACCCCCGUAGCUCCACCGACGUACCCCCUGCACCCAUAUAUACCUACGUACCCAAAAACUUCCAGAACAAAACCUAUAUCGGGAGUUCCGCUGCCGCAAGCCUCCAGUACCACGAAAAACCAAUCGGGACCCUAUUUCAACACCCUGCCGGAGGGGGGAUCCUUCACCGGUGGCCAUCUUCAUCAUCCCGGCGCUAUCCAUGACGAGGAGGGAGUAGUUCACCCUCGGGGCAGAGGGUAUGUACCAGUAGCUAUGUGUUUGAUCUCUCUCUCUCGUGUUCUCUCUCGUGUUCCUCUAUGGCACGAUCUUGAUGUAUCCCGAGCUUUGCUAUUGUAGUUGGAUUUUAUGAUGUUUCUCCCCGUCUACUCUCUUGUGAUGAAUUGAGUUUCCCCUUUGAAGUUAUCUUAUCGGAUUGAGUCUUCUAUGAAAACACUUGAUGUAUGUCUUGGUGAUCAACUUGCGGGUUUCGUGACAUUAGGAACCUAUGCAUAGGGGUUGGCACACGUUCUUGACUUUCCGGUAGUAGCUUUGGGGCACUCUUUGAAGUACUUUUAUGUUGGUUGGAUGAAUCUGAGAUUGUGUGAUGCAUAUCGUAUAAUCAUGCCCACGGAUACUUGAGGUGACAAUGGAGUAUCUAGGUGACAUUAGGGUUUUGGUUGAUUUGUGUCUUAAGGUGUUAUUCUAGUACAAACUCUUUUAUAGAUCGAUCAGAAAGGAUAACUUUGAGGUGGUUUCCUACCCUACCAUAAUCUCUAUGUUUGUUCUCCGCUAUUAGUGGCUUUGGAGUGACUCUUUGUUGCAUGUUGAGGGCUUGUUAUAUGAUCUAUCUAUGUUAUUAUUGUUGAGAGAACUUGCACUAGUGAAAGUAUGAACCCUAGGCCUUGUUUCCUAUCAUUGCAAUACCGUUUACGCUCACUUUUACUGCUCGCUACCUUGCUGUUCUUAUUAUUUCAGAUUACAAAAACCUAUAUCUACUAUCUAUUUUGCACUUGUAUCACCAUCUCUUCGCCGAACUAGUGCACAUAUACAAUUUACCAUUGUAUUGGGUGUGUUGGGGACACAAGAGACUCUUUGUUAUUUGGUUGCAGGGUUGUUUGAGAGAGACCAUCUUCAUCCUACGCCUCCUACGGAUUGAUAAACCUUAGGUCAUCCACUUGAGGGAAAUUUGCUACUGUCCUACAAACCUGUGCACUUGCAGGCCCAACAACGUCUACAAGAAGAAGGUUGUGUAGUAGACAUCAUGCUAUUAAAAGAACAUUUUGCUGGUUUAGGCAACUUAAAGGUUUUGGAUCUCAGCUACAAUAACUUCAACGGUGUGAAAGAACAAUUUGCAAGCUUAGGAAAAUUAGAGUAUUUGGACCUUAGCCACAAUAACUUGAGCGGUGUGCUAUUGAAAGAACAUUUUGCUGGUUUAGGCAACUUAAAGGUUUUGGAGCUCAGCUACAAUAACUUCAAUAGUGUGAAAGAACAAUUUGCAAGCUUAGGCAAAUUGGAGAAUUUGAACCUCAGCCACAAUAACUUCAGAGGUGUGCUCUUGAAAGAAC
rnacentral:lncRNA from 1 species